GUUUGCCCUAAUCUUGCUUACUGGGUAGGGCUGUGAGGCUUCUCCACGUCCUCAAGCGGGCGGAACCACACCUUCUGCUCCAGCACCGAUGAACCAUCCGGGAUCGGACCACUGCCGGAGCCGACUCCCUUCUCAGUGGAGGGACCAAAGACUCCGGUAUGGGGAUUGGGGGCCCAGUAUUGGUUGCUGCCGGAUACUGGAAUGUCAGGCACCACCGCUGGAACAACGUGGUCGUCCACCUCCUUGUCGUAAGAGGACGAGUGAGAUCCCCUUCGAGAAGCAAUCACCGGACCUCGGCCGAUGAAGAUCGGAUCCACAACCUGCGUCCCCUGCCUGCCUGGGCUGAUGAAGAUCCGAUCCACAACCUGCUUUCCCAGCCUCCCUGCGAUCGUGCUGCCCUUGAGGUUAGCUGCCAUCCAACAGUCAACGGGGAGGAUGAAGCACAAUGAACUUGCUCGCUCACACCGCG
rnacentral:misc_RNA from 1 species